rnacentral:rRNA from 1 species
UGGGGAAUAUUGGACAAUGGAGGAAACUCUGAUCCAGCAAUUCUGUGUGUGUGAAGAAGGUUUUAGGACUGUAAAACACUUUUCGUCGGGAAGAAAAAAAUGACGGUACCUACAGAAGAAGCAACGGCUAAAUACGUGCCAGCAGCCGCGGUAAUACGCAUGUUGCGAGCGUUAUCCGGAAUUAUUGGGCUUAAAGGGCAUCUAGGCGGUAAGACAAGUUGAAGGUGAAAACCUGUGGCUCAACCAUAGGCUUGCCUACAAAACUGUUGAACUAGAGUACUGGAAAGGUGGGUGGAACUACACGAGUAGAGGUGAAAUUCGUAGAUAAGUGUAGGAAUGCCGAUGAUAAAGAUAACUCACUGGACAGAAACUGACGCUGAAGUGCGAAAACUAGGGGAGCAAACAGG